GGUGAGUUUCACUAGAAAUGUUGUGUAAUUAGGCUGUGUUUACAGUCAGAAAUCCUAAAUAUAUUGGCCCCAUACGGGAUAAAUAGCACAUUCAAGAGGGAAAAAAAGAGAAUCGAUCGCCUCAUAAGAUCAGGAAAAUAGUCAGUUUUAUUCUUAAGAUUCCAGCUGUAUACACAUGGGAUGACGUUUCUUUAUUAUAAAUCACCAACAUGAAAAACUAUUGAUUUGUCUCCUCAGACUUGUAAUUUCAAUUUCAAGUGACUAUUGAAUGGCUUUGAGGCAUGGGGCUCUGUUUCUUCCAACACUCAAGGUG
rnacentral:lncRNA from 1 species